GGGGGGCACAGAAAAACAUACACUUCCCAGACCCAGGACACUUUCAAGUGACUUUGGAAACCGAGCCCAAAGCGCAGCCUCUUUGCGCAGCUCCCGCCGCGCUCAGUCGUGCCAGAACUUCCCAAACCAUCCCGCGAGGGAAGCGCUGUCAGUGCCCCAGCUCCGAUACAGGCAACUCUCGAUAGCCAGCAACAAAACCAGGCCAAAUUAAAAUACACAUAAGAGAAAUUCCGAGCUCCUGCUUACCUAACGUGCCUUCCCUACUUGGCGUGCUGCGGGGAUGCAGCUGGAGGAGGCUGGGGCUGCUGCUCUAUCUGCUGCCGGUGCCAGCGAGGGGCUGCUCGGAGCAGGGCUUCAGCUGGUGCGUAUCAAUAUCACACUAUUGCCUUUAAUGGGGCCACAAUAAUUUCCAGCAGCUGUGCCUUCACUGCAGCAUUUUACCAUGCUUAAGAGGAGUUUUGAUUUUCAAACCUACUGUUCUGCGAGGCCUAAUCCGGCGGUGAUGGGCAGGCUGUCGCACGGACACCGAAGUCUGCCCCUCAGCAAGCAGGGUUUCCACCCGCACGUGGAAAUUCAAAAUUUGACAGUGGUGUUUUUGCGACAAUGGAAGUAUUGUAUAUGGGACAGAGUAAGACCUUCCCUGCAGUCUGUUUGUGUCAGGAUAUUGUUCAAAGUAAAUCAUCAGAUUUUUGCUUCAUUUUUGCCAUUGUUACAGUAUUUCCUGUAUGACUUUUUUUUUUUUUUUCCUCAAAAGAAAUUAGCUAUUACUUCACACUGAAGGUUUUGAGAGGACUUUUUAAACAAAAAUUAACACAACUGGAAAUUGUUCUACAGUUUUAAGUCCCUGUGUUCAAACAAGACACCGUGAAGCCUCGCAGGAACACAUGCGGCUGAAGACAUUUAAAGCAUGAACUACUGACAUUAGACAAAGAGGAAGGUGACUUGUUCUGUGGAAGCAAAUGCAAAAACUAAACCAUCAGAAAUUAAACGAUGACUGGAAUUGAAAUACACUGAGGAGAAAUCGGACGAGCCCACUGCGAAUACGUGCCCUCUGCAUUUUCUACCUGCACCAGCACCAAAGAGCUCGAAGGUUCUGUAUCCUGCUACGGGUCCCCACACGCAACUGUCUUUGAAGUGACGAGGCCGUGUAGCUUCCAGCGCCCCCGGCCACGUCAGCCUGCUGCCCCCCCUUCACGCUGCCCCCCGGGAGCACAGCUUUGCCGCGCUCUUCCUCCAUCCCAGGGCUCCGCUCUGACUUUUUUUUCAGGCUCGGUUUCUGUGCUGCCCCGCAUUCUGUUACUUUUUAGACCUGUGCACAAAGGCAGCGAGAAGAAAGGAAAGGCAGGAUGUGUCUUUCUGGGUUUGUCAAGAGGUUUGUUUUUUUUUUUUAGAAGUUGCAGUGAAUAUAGAUAGGCGAGGGAAAGAGCGAGUGUGCAUAUGUACCACGAGAUACAGGAAUAUCUCAAUAGGCAUUUUACUAUACUCUCAGUUUCCCUACCCCUAGCAACAUGCUGACAAAUCAAGAACUGCCAUCCUAUAUACAGUACUCCAGCUGUCAGCCUUAAGCAGUGCGUCUCCUUGCCAGAGUACAGCCUUUCCUUUGUUUCGGCUUUGCAAAUAAAAUCACAACUUGUAAAAUAUAGGGAAAAAGAAUUCUUUUCUAAAGCAGGAAAGUCACUGAUCCUUUUUAAAGGUUCAUAACUGCAUUAACUGCUUUGAACAAGAAGCCACAUACUGAAUGAUAAUGGAUUUGUAGUAACGGUAUGCCUUGUAUUUAAUAUAAUAAUAACCAGUUACAUAAAGUCAACAGACUCACUAUACUCACCUACCACUUAAUUUUAUAAAGACUUUCAUUGAUUUAAAUUAUUCUUAGUAAGAAAUAUUGGUCAUCUCUACAGCCUUUGUUUCCACUUGAUCAUAUUUCAAGGGGGGAAAAAGAUGACUGUUUAAAAUUUUUGAAGCUCGCUCAGAGAGGGUCAAGCACUAUGUUAAUAUCCUAAAAUUUCACAUCUUGUGUCUCUGAAACAGGAAUAGGUCAAAGGUAAUGUUAAGUUUUGUGGGGCUUUUAAAAGAAUGCCUUGUGUAGGAGUGAGUGACUUACAGAGGCACAAUCUGCAUAGGUAGCACAAGCCGUAGUUAAAACUGUCCACUGUUUACUUAAAAGUCAUAGAUGGCCCCAGGAACAAGAGACCCACUGCUGGGUACUGGUACAAGUACUUUACGACUAGUGGUAGGCACCACUAUACCCAUUUUAUAGAUGGAGAAACUGAGGCUUAGGGAGGCACAGUAUUUUCCCCUAGAUACUCAAGGGUGAGACACAGCUGCUGAACCAAGUGUAUAAAACCUUUAAGGAACACCACACAAUAGCCAUAUGACAUCUUCUAACGAACCAAACCCACGUACCUGUCAGUAAUGAGCCAGAGGAGGGACAGGAUGGGAAGAUGCAAUGCAGUGGGAUUAGCUAGGGCUACUCUACGCUUAGAUACUUGCAAGCACAUCCUUUUUUAUCACCAACAAGAUGGAGAAAGAAUAUUUUAGCCUUUUCUUCUUUGUUCAAGAAAAAUUCGAGGGCUGGAUUUGCCCUUCAUCUGGGUUUUCUACCUAAAAGGGCAGCACAAUUACAAUUUGUGCAGUAGCAUCAGAUGAAUUUUCAUGCAUCCCAAAUUCCCAGGAUCUGUGUAGUGGAUGUGCAGCUCUCCUACUGCCUUUCUCAGAAGUGCUGGAUUUAUUGAGCAUGUGAUGUACGGUUGAUUCACAUGUGCAAUAAGUUUGAUGCAUCCUGGAUAUAUCGGGUUUAUUCUGCAUGCCAUUACACUGCACAUGUGCACAUAUUUCUGGCCAGGAAAUCCCCAACAGAAAUGCAUCAGCCCCAGAUUAGCUCUUCAUAGUCAAGGAAGGGCUGAGUGGAUUAGGGAGCCGCUGGCUGUGAGGAAUAUAUUGACUCAUGGCUUUGGAGACAAUACCCAUCAUCCCCAAUGCAAAUCCCAAGGGGAAAUAUGGGAAAUUUCCAUUAACGAGUCAGCUUCAUUUCCCCCCCCCCCCGUUCAUUGCUGUAGGUUUCUUAGGAUUGAAUCUACCCAAACCCCGUUUCACCCCACAAUACUCAGGAAGGACCAGCCAGGCUCUGUUUUCCUGGAGAAAGGCUGCACAGCGUAACUGCGAGCACGGUUUGGGCCACUGCAGUCAGAUGCAGAGGAUCUUAAUCCAAGGGUUUUUUUAAAAAAAAGGAAACAAAGGAAUCCUAAUGAGAUGGAAUAUUAGAGACUCUCAUCUGGGACUCUCAUUGUUUGCAAGCCAAAGGUGAUUAGGAAAAGUCUGUGAUUUUAAAGAGAAAAAAAAAAAUCCCUGAAACUGCUCCUUUAGUUUGCAGGAGCCACGUUAUAAAUAACACAACAGGAUAAAAUAGUGUGUAGUAUUUCCAAAGUCUGCUGGAAGGAUGGUGUCUUGAACUAUUUGCUAUUACAAGAGUAAAGCCAGUUUGCACAUGAAAUGAAUCCCAAUGAAAUGAGUAAACUCAAGUAUUAUUAAUAUAAUACCAUGCAAAGCAAUAAAAAACAGUAAGCGCUGCAAAAGUAGGAAAUCACUAGGGAAAACGUCUGUUGCCCCAAGACUUAAGUUGGAAUGAAUUCCUAGAAUCUUAAACGCUAAUUUAAAAUUGCUUCACUGCAGAUUUAUUUUGAAUAUCAUAUCUUGUCAAUAGACAAAGGGUAAGCAACACUGAAGUGCUGUGUUAAAAGCAGUCAUAGGAAUCGAGGUCAGAUGUCUCCCCAAGCUGAGAAGUACUCAGAUGUACUGUGUUCCUCUGGUUCACUUGUAGAAUUUUCUUCCCCUGUAUCUUUUAAUUUGCUAAACGAUUUGAGAGAAACCGAACCACCUACGUUUAAUUAGCUUUAUAAAUCAAAGGUGACAAUUCUUUAGUAACCUGUAUUAUUUCCCAGCGUGGCAAGCUAGAAAAAUGCCGACAAAUUUAUUUAUUGACCUGUUGUGUUUUGCAAGGGCAGCCAAUGUUAUAUUGAUCCAGCUAUCGAAAAUACUGUAGCAGGGGCAAUAACAUUCAAGUGCCAGUGUCUCCACAUAAUCGCUGUUCCGUACUCUCCCUACCCGAGUGAUAUCCCCCAUCUCUUACGAAAAUGCAAAUGCACCCAUCCCCCAGAGCUGCCCUCCUCUUGCUUUCCGGGAGGAUCCUUAUUGUUAGAGAUUAAACUGAGAAGAGAGCAGAGACCUUCAGGUUUACUUGGCGCGUAGGUUGCUUCUUUCAUCGGAUGUGAUCGUUAGUAACUACUGUUGCAACCUUAAUUAUAUCUUCAGUAACGGCUCCCCCACCCCCAGCACUUUCUGUAAACCUCCCGUUGUAUCACCCAGGAAUCCGAUCCCGCAGUCCUUCCUGGGAAACCCUCUGUUGAAGUCAGUGGGGUUGACUUCUGAUUUCCUUAUGUCUCACUUCGGUAACGUGUGUAUUUAAGGUGCAGGCUUUUCUUUCUGAUGCUUUAAGGUAUGCGCAGAAGUUGUCGGGAGAUCGGGAUUUCCAUUUUCAGUUCGUGAUAAAAUGAAAAAAUAAAUGAAGACUUCAGUGUUUGACCUAUUGGGAUACCUCCAUUGACAAUCACUCACGAGUUAGGGUGACAAGGUCACGUUCCUUAUUCUUUAUUCAUUUAACCGUUUUAUAAUUAUAAGUAGCAAUGGAAAGCAAGCAAUCUUCACAGUUAAUAACCUUCCCAGACCCCAGGGUACAGAUCUGGAAAACGGAGGAAACAAUGGGGAAAAGUUAAAAAUUGUUUUCCAUAAUUUAUUACCGUCAGGUAAAGAAAAAAAAAAAAUGUAUCUUUGGAAACGCACGGUCAUUUACAUUUCUAGCAAAAUCCGUCCUGAGCUCAGCAGCCAGCUAAAAAGAUACGGGAGACACUGAAAAUAGGGCCUGGAAUAUUAUCAUCCCGUUGAUGUUCUCUUUUUCCCAUGUGCAUUUUUAUGCAAAUAUUGUUAGUUUCGCCACCUCCAUUGAUCCUUAAUUCCCACUGAAACCUCUAAGAGCCGAAGGUCUUCAUCAUCACACAAUGAUUUUAUAUAUUAAAACAGGACUGAGGACAGGAGGUUAGGCUGUCGUAAUCGCUGCGCGCGGCUGGCCGGAUCCCCCCGUGCACAUUUUUGUGUUGCAAUGACAAAGGCCACGAGUCAAGAAAUCGCUUUCGCACAAGCUCAAAUCCCGCCCUCCUCAAGACCACAUUUAACUGCGUGACCAACUUUGAGCAUUACCUUGUGCGUGGUGUUAACCGCACGCUUAAGCGUGGUCUCAAGUAGAGAAGCAUUCCUGAAUCCAAACCAAUCGAUCGAAAUAGCUGCAGGUGAAAAUUCUUCAUACGUGCCUUCUGUGUACGUCAUGAGAUCCGCGUGGUCGUACAAGCACAGGCCUGUAUCGCCGUUUAUUUCAGGGAAAUAAAAAGUAUUUCGUUUUCUGCGCUAUGCGGUUUAAAAGCUGCCUCUGGAAAAGCAGGAUAUUUUCCUGAGCGUUGGUUAGAUAUUUAAUGCUCGGAAAGAAGACCCGCAAUUAAAAAAAAAAAAAAAAGGCAUUUCAAAUAGAUAUAGAGUUUUUAUAUUUUAGACUGAUAUUUUUUCUAGAAUGUUUCCUUCUCUGUUUCAGACUAGCAUGUAAAUUUUAAAAAGUAAAAUGUUUGUAUAACCUUGUGGUUUGAAAAUAAUCAAAGCGAUGCGAGAUACAUGCUGGGUACCCAGAUGGAUAAUAUUUUGUUUUUCGUUGUGAACGUCUUUUGUCUUAAAGCUAGUGUGAAAAUCUAGAAGAGGGCCCCACAUGAUUGAUCACCACAAGCAUCAGAAGGAAAUGAUUCACCACAACACUGUAACUGAAACUGCUUCAACACCUGAUUGCAAACUUCACACUAGGGGACUAAUUAACUGCUGUACCUGCGCCGAGAUCGCUGGAACGCACAGGACACCGCAUCUACUAUCACUGCAGCUGUGGAUACCCACUGCUCUGACUGAUUAUCGCUGGUGCAAAGUUUGUCUUGAUGAGGUGAAGAAAUUGGUGAGCUCUUCAGGAAAGCAGCAUAAAAGGCCAUAAACGCAGCGUCGCAGUGACACCAGUUCGAUGCUCCUAAGAAUAACCGUGCCCAAGUCUCCAUCGCAUUCACCGGUCUCACCACGAGCAAAGUUCAUGAAGCACCUGUAACAACAGAGCAAGGAGGAAAUGCCUUCUAAGACGCCCCGACCGCUCAAAUGCAGCCAGAAGCUCAGCUUUGACCUGAAAGAGCAGCUCUGGAGAGAGCGAUGGCAUCACCUGGGUCACCUCGCUGAGAUCCCCUCCUCACCGGGCGCGAACGCCGCGGCCACACCGAGGGCCUUCAGGUGGGGGCUCGAGCACCUGGAGCCACGAAGUUAAUAGGCCAAUUGCAUCAAUCGGUGACAAUUUUCCAUCAAAAUUAAUCUGGGUUGGAUUCACACGCAGUUGUUUUUCACUAGUAGGCUCUGCUGCGCUUGUUACAUAAAUGUAAUGACUCAGAUUUAAAGGAGGAAAAAAAAAAAAGUGAAAUCCAAUAGCUUAGUAGUUAAUAAAAAUAAGAAAAUCAGAUACUUGUAAAAAGGUUUUACGAGAAGGUCACAUGGUCAUUUCUCAGAAUGUUAUUUUCCCUUAUUAUUCGGCUGAAUAAAAACCACCCUGUUUUUAGUAUCUGUGGAGCUACUGAAAAAAAAUGAGUAAAGCUAUUCACAAAGUUACUAAGUAUUAACCUUCCUUAUAAUAAAUUCCAAGUAAUGAAAAAAAAACAAUAUACAGGUUCAAAGAAACAGACAAAAGGAGUACUCCCUGCUCUGGUUUGAGCCCUACAGAGAUUACGGGGGUGAGGACACAGGUUAGACGUGGUGUCAGGGUGAAGAGCGAGUUUCAGUGCCUGUUUCACUGGGAGUUUUUAAUGCUGUAUUUUGAAGGUCCCCAAAUCAGCGUAUCUAAUCUGGCUUCUGACAGAAGAGCAAGAUGAAAUAGGUUUUUUUAACGUGUGGAUCUGAGAACAGUGAACCUCGUCGUACCUGGGAAGCAGAGCGAGUCAGUAGCGAUCGGAGGAACAGGUCCGUAAAACAGAACAGUCGCGCUAAGCACGGGGUCCCUCCCGGGAGGGGGACGGGUGGCUGGCGAGGCAGAGCGCAGCACGCCCAGUGGGAGCCUGGGCAGCGCGGAGAGGAGCAGCAAGAGGGAUAUCGAUACUGCAUUAAAACAGUGCGGCUGACAGGCUGCACCCAAAGGGUGGUGGUGAGUAGCUCUUUCUCAGUGGCAGCCUGACACAAGCGGGGUCCCCCAGGGAUCGCUAUUGGGCCCAAUGUUAUUAACAUCUUCAUAAGUGAUCUGGAUAACGGCAUCAAGUGUAUCCUGGUGGAGUUUGCUGAUGACACCAAGUUGAGUGGGGAAGCAGACACUCCAGCAGGGAGAGCUGCUCUGCAGGGAGAUCUGGAUAGGCUGGAAGAGCGGGCCAGCAAGACCCUUAUGGAGGUCAACAAGGACAAGUGUAAGGUCACGCACCUGGGGAAACAUAAUCCAGGAGUGCGGCACAGACUGGGAUCCACCUGGCUGGAGAGCAGCUCUGUGGGAAGGGACCUGGGGGUCCUGGUGGGGAGAAGCUCAACAUGAGCGAACAGUGGCUGCUGUGGCCAAGAAGGCCAACAGGGUGCUGGGUUGCAUCAAAAAGGGCAUCGCCAGCAGAGAUAAAGAAGUCACCAUCCCGCUCUACUCAGCACUGGUCAGGCCACACCUGGAGUGCUCUGUGCAGUUCUGGUCCCCGCUGUACAAAAAGGACGUGGACAGGCUGGAAGGGGUCCAGAGAAGGGCCACCAAGAUGAUCAGAGGACUGGGAAGCUGCCGUACGAGGAUAGGCUGGGAGAGCUGGGUUUGUCCAGCCUUGAGAAAAGGAGGCUCAGAGGGGAUCUCAUCCCCAUGUACCAGUACUUAAGGGGUAGCUACAGAGAAGGUGGAGACCCCCUUUUUACAUGGAGUCCCAUGGAGAGGACAAGGGGGAUGGACACAAGUUGCUCUUGGGGAGAUUCCGACUGGACGCAAGGGGGACAUUUUUCACAGUGAGGACAGUCACCGUUGGAAUAAUCUCCCCAGGGAAGGGGUUGGCUCGGCCACGUUGGGCACCUUCAAGAGUCAUCUGGACAGGGUGCUGGGCCAUCUUGUCUAGGCUGGGCUCUUCCCAGAAAGGCUGGACUAGAUGAUCCCUGAGGUCCCAUCCCACCUGGCAUUCUGUGAAAACUUUACAGUGCGUGAGGGGGGAGAUUUGGCCUGCAGAACAGAGAGAGGCUGAUGGAGAGAAAGUGGCACGUGUCUUUCCUUAUCUCCGCCUUCCUCUGAAACCUCCCGCGAUGCCACCAGCCGCCGCCCGGCUUCUUCCGCAGGUUUACCGCAGCACCCGACAGGCCUCCUGCGAGCACGAUGCUCCGUCGUCAGACAGAAACACCUCUGGACUCUUGCUUUAGCCCAUCAGAUCGGUCUUCUCACCUGCGGUAUGUUCCCCCCUGUGCCAGCCACGUUUAGCCCUCCCUAGGACACGUGAUUUUAUGUUAACUGGCAGGCGUCACCACAAAGAGCCUGUUCUCUCUUUGCACAGGCAUUUUUCUUGACAAAGCAACACUUGACGCUUUGCAGAUAUUGGGCUAGCUCUUCAGCUCCGCGCUUGUUCUUUACACCCGGUCAAAUUCUGAGCGAAGAUUAAAUUAAACGUGAGCUAACUUAAUGAGUUUUUCAAAACUGUAAGGUGAAUUUUUCAUUGAGGGAAGCGCAGCCGCUUCUGGAGUCGAAUGCAACAGCUCGUAAAUAACAUGCAAAAACUCAGUGCAAAAGCAGAGGAAAUUUUAGGUGACUGCAAUGUAAUUUGUCAGUUGCGGACUAAUGGAGAUUGGGUUGUAACGUGCUUUUGCUUUUCUGUCUGUCUUUGAAUGAACAUCUUUGGUUUGCGUGCAUCCUCUUGUCUAAAAUCAUUGUACGCUGUAAUAGAGGAUGACCACAGAAAAAUGGAAAAGAGAAAAUAUGAGAAAAGAAACCACAGAAGGACACUACUGCAGAGCAAAACGUCGUUCCAAAUAUACUCAGGCAAAAUGAAGAAAGAUGGAACAAAAUUGCAAAAAGAAGGUGGAGCAAAUGGAUAGAAAAUUAUUUGUGCUGCAGAGCUGAUAGGUAUGCCAGGGUCAAUCACGGUUUUUUGUGAUUUAUGAAGAAGCGAAUAAAGAAUUAUUUUAUCCGUC